CUUCGGUAAAGAGCGGCGGACGGGUGAGUAACGCGUGGGUAACCUGCCCUGUACACACGGAUAACAUACCGAAAGGUAUGCUAAUACGAGAUAAUAUGCUUUUAUCGCAUGGUAGAAGUAUCAAAGCUUUUGCGGUACAGGAUGGACCCGCGUCUGAUUAGCUAGUUGGUAAGGCAACGGCUUACCAAGGCGACGAUCAGUAGCCGACCUGAGAGGGUGAUCGGCCACAUUGGAACUGAGACACGGUCCAAACUCCUACGGGAGGCAGCAGUGGGGAAUAUUGCACAAUGGGCGAAAGCCUGAUGCAGCAACGCCGCGUGAGCGAUGAAGGCCCUCGGGUCGUAAAGCUCUGUCCUCAAGGAAGAUAAUGACGGUACUUGAGGAGGAAGCCCCGGCUAACUACGUGCCAGCAGCCGCGGUAAUACGUAGGGGGCUAGCGUUAUCCGGAAUUACUGGGCGUAAAGGGUGCGUAGGUGGUUUCUUAAGUCAGAGGUGAAAGGCUACGGCUCAACCGUAGUAAGCCUUUGAAACUGGGAAACUUGAGUGCAGGAGAGGAGAGUGGAAUUCCUAGUGUAGCGGUGAAAUGCGUAGAUAUUAGGAGGAACACCAGUUGCGAAGGCGGCUCUCUGGGACUGUAACUGACC
rnacentral:rRNA from 1 species